CACGUAGGCGGAUAUUUAAGUCAGGGGUGAAAUCCCAGAGCUCAACUCUGGAACUGCCUUUGAUACUGGGUAUCUCGAGUAUGGAAGAGGUGAGUGGAAUUCCGAGUGUAGAGGUGAAAUUCGUAGAUAUUCGCAAGAACACCAGUGGCGAAGGCGGCUCACUGGGCCAUUACUGACGCUGAGGCACGAAAGCGUGGGAGGCAAACA
rnacentral:rRNA from 1 species